ACUCCUGAUUGGGAGUGCAGUCACCUGCAAAGUGCUCUGCUGCUUGCCCACACCCCUCUGAGUGACAGGCACAAGCUAACCCUUGUCACACCAGGCUGACCUUUGCAAGCUUUCCUAAAUGUGGAAGACUUAACUGCAUAAUUUUGUGGCCAUGGGGGGCUGCUUUCUUGCAUUCCCCCU
rnacentral:snRNA from 1 species